rnacentral:rRNA from 1 species
GACGGAGGAUGCAAGUGUUAUCCGGAAUCACUGGGCGUAAAGCGUCUGUAGGUGGUCAAGUAAGUCAACUGUUAAAUCUUGAGGCUCAACCUCAAAAUCGCAGUCGAAACUAUUAGACUAGAGUAUAGUAGGGGUAAAGGGAAUUUCCAGUGGAGCGGUGAAAUGCGUAGAGAUUGGAAAGAACACCGAUGGCGAAGGCACUUUACUGGGCUAUUACUAACACUCAGAGACGAAAGCUAGGGUAGCAAAUGGG